rnacentral:rRNA from 1 species
AACGAACGCUGGCGGCAUGCCUAACACAUGCAAGUCGAACGAACCCUUCGGGGUUAGUGGCGCACGGGUGCGUAACGCGUGGGAAUCUGCCCUUUGCUUCGGAAUAACAGUUAGAAAUGACUGCUAAUACCGGAUGAUGUCGUAAGACCAAAGAUUUGUCGGCAAAGGAUGAGCCCGCGUAGGAUUAGCUUGUUGGUGAGGUAAAAGCUCACCAAGGCGACGAUCCUUAGCUGGUCUGAGAGGAUGAUCAGCCACACUGGGACUGAGACACGGCCCAGACUCCUACGGGAGGCAGCAGUGGGGAAUAUUGGACAAUGGGCGAAAGCCUGAUCCAGCAAUGCCGCGUGAGUGAUGAAGGCCUUAGGGUUGUAAAGCUCUUUUACCCGGGAUGAUAAUGACAGUACCGGGAGGAUAAGCUCCGGCUAACUCCGUGCCAGCAGCCGCCGUAACAC